CGUAGAGUACCAGAGAGAGAGAGGGAGAGACUGCUAGAAGAGUAAGCUCACAGAUAGCGAUCGAUCAUGGACACGAGGCGUGCCGCUCUCUGCUUUCUCCUAGCACUCAUGAUCUUGCACGCAAACCCUACAUCUAUUGCGGCGGGUGACGAUGGCAAACCAGAGGUGUGCAAGUACAGGCAACCGGUGGUACCGUUCUGCAAAGACUGGAGCUGCAAGGCAGAGUGCUGGAUCGAGGCGAAACUGUUCCUUGCCCGUGUACAGGAACACAGGUGCAUCAAGGGCGGCUUACUGGGAGUGUGCUACUGUCUCUUCUGCGGGAAGCACUUGGCGCUCGACUAAAACAUCCACUCCCACGGGACGGAGCUAUUUGCUGUCCAGGAGGCACGAGGAACCCAUAAUUCAUCGUCUUAAAAAUUAGGCCAAGUUCGUCCUCGGUUUCUUAAUUAUAAGGUGGUGGUACCGUGGUCGUACUAAUGCAUGGUUGAAAAUUAUAUGUAUAUUGGGAGAAUAAAUUAUGUUUUUCCUGCUUC